rnacentral:rRNA from 1 species
GGUAGUGGGGGAUAACGUUCGGAAACGGACGCUAAUACCGCAUACGUCCUACGGGAGAAAGCAGGGGACCUUCGGGCCUUGCGCUAUCAGAUGAGCCUAGGUCGGAUUAGCUAGUUGGUGAGGUAAUGGCUCACCAAGGCUACGAUCCGUAACUGGUCUGAGAGGAUGAUCAGUCACACUGGAACUGAGACACGGUCCAGACUCCUACGGGAGGCAGCAGUGGGGAAUAUUGGACAAUGGGCGAAAGCCUGAUCC